GAUGAAGAACGUAGCGAAAUGCGAUAAGUAAUGCGAAUUGCAGAAUUCAGCGAAUCAUCGAAUCUUUGAACGCACAUUGCGCCCCUUGGUAUUCCGAGGGGCAUGCCUGUUCGAGCGUCAUUACACCACUCAAGCACUGCUUGGUAUUGGGCACUCGUCCGUCGAAAGACGGGCGUGCCUCGAAGACCUCGGCGGGGUUUCUCCAACUUCGGGCGUAGUAGAGUUAAAUCAAAACGUCUUAUAAGCUUGGUGAGAUCUCAUUGCCGUUAAACCUUUUUUUUUCAGGUUGACCUCGGAUCAGGUAGGGGUACCCGCUGAACUUAAGCAUAUCAAUAAGCGGAGGA
rnacentral:misc_RNA from 1 species